UAUGUAGGGUGCGAGCGUUAAUCGGAAUUACUGGGCGUAAAGCGUGCGUAGGCGGUUCGCUGUGUCCGAUGUGAAAGCCCCGGGCUUAACCUGGGAAUGGCAUUGGAAACUGGCGGGCUUGAGUGCGGCAGAGGGGGGUGGAAUUCCGCGUGUAGCAGUGAAAUGCGUAGAGAUGCGGAGGAACACCGAUGGCGAAGGCAGCCCCCUGGGUCGACACUGACGCUCAGGCACGAAAGCGUGGGGAGCAAACAGG
rnacentral:rRNA from 1 species